UCCACUAUGCGGUGCAGUUUGCACUAAUUGUUUUGAGAAAUGUACUGUUGUGCAAAUGAUUAUUAUGAUUCGAGAAAUGCACCAACGCGGGUGAGGAACAACUCCUUU